GAUGUAGCCUCCUCCGCAGGCAACUCUUUGGCAAAAAUUGGAAAAAGUAUUAUGAAUAAAAAAAUUGGCAAAAAUGUGAUGAUCCCUAACAAUCCCUAACUUUAAAUUCGCUGUUAUUCAUAAUACUUUUGCCAAAGACUUGCCAGCGGAAGAGGCUACAGU